rnacentral:rRNA from 1 species
UACGGGGGGGCAAGCGUUGUUCGGAAUUACUGGGCGUAAAGGGCUCGUAGGCGGCCAACUAAGUCAGACGUGAAAUCCCUCGGCUUAACCGGGGAACUGCGUCUGAUACUGGUUGGCUUGAGUGUGGGAGAGGGAUGCGGAAUUCCAGGUGUAGCGGUGAAAUGCGUAGAUAUCUGGAGGAACACCGGUGGCGAAGGCGGCAUCCUGGACCAUUACUGACGCUGAGGAGCGAAAGCCAGGGGAGCAAACGGG